rnacentral:tRNA from 1 species
AGUAGGGUAGCAUAGCAGGCCUAAUGCGCUAGAUUCAUAUCCUAGUUAUCGUGAGUUCGAAUCUCACCCUUACUACCA